UUGGGAUUCCCAUUACAAAGCAAAACCAUCAGGCUUUAAUCCUGGUUCUAACAGUCUUUUUCAGCAGCGUACUGGCACAAUGACGUUAGCUACAUUUAUCCACAUUGCAAAAUGGUGGUUUCAUUCGUGAACUCUUUUUCUUUUCUAACUGGACACUACAUACACGAUCUCCACCGUCCCUUCUUAUUACAUUCGUGUGUUAAUAUUGAUAAUAACUCAUCAGAUAAAAUAUCACAGUGAUGGUGGUGAAUACUGCGGAGACAGAGCUGAACGUGUCACUGUUCAUUAGGAGGAAUAGCGUUAGCACGGUCGGCUAAAGCUUCGACAAAAGAAAACUUAAACUGUGGACUGACGACGCUCUAAAAAAGCAGGGGCGCUUCCAAAGUACACUUAACCUCCAGUUUAUUGAACUUUUAGUUUGAACCUUUUCUACAUCGACCACAGGAGCUGAAACUUACAUUUCUACAUUGUUUUGACUGUGUUAACGUUUCAGCUGCGCUCCUUUGCCGAUUGCUAAGUAACAGACAUGACAGUUGAUUGUCGACUUCGACAUAGUAACCUAGGUCAAGAUUUCCUGUCUUGACAUAAGACGCGAUCUGAUGGGAGGUUUCUGUAAUACGGUCUCUGCCCUGGCAGCUCUACUGUAUUUCAGCACAUCGACCGUAGAUGUGAAGACCCUAACGCAGCCUGAUGAGCACAGAUACAGCCCACCUGCUCCUGCGGCCACUCCUGCAAGAGUUGCUGUUGAAGAGAGAAGAAUAAGCAGUAUUAACAUACUAAAGCCACCAAACGGGUUUUGGGCAGCAGGAGGCGGGCAUUAGUGCUAGAGAGUGCUGAUUGAUGGGCGAGCGGAGCAGCUCAUUGGCUGUUUGCAUUCACUGACGUCAUGGACAUACAUGAAGUGCUGUUACUACUAUAACUCGAGUUUAAAAGCUCUUAAAAAUAUAACAGCGGUGUUAAAAUGUUUUAUGCUGCUCUGUGUUCAGGAAA